UAUAUUCUGGGGUCUCAAAUCAGAGUCAAUGAAACAGAAAUCACGGAAGACACGGUGGUCAUAUUUGAGCCUCUGCCGUCAUGCACGAAUUUCCGUACCUGCAGCAGCUGCGUCAACGGCAGAAAGGAGACUUUGCUUCCCUGCAGCUGGUGCUCGGAGAUCGGGGGUUGCUCAAGUAAAGCAGAUUUUCUUAAAACGCUUUGGAACUACAGAGAUUGCGACCUUCAGGAGGUUUCUGAUGCACCCCUCUGUCAAGAUUAUAAAACGGUUCCAGACCAAGCCCUUCCAGAGCAUUCGGACACUAAACAAGAGGGGUCGGAGGAUUAUUCAACCCAAACAUGGAU